rnacentral:rRNA from 1 species
GACGAACGCUGGCGGCGUGCUUAACACAUGCAAGCCGAACGGAAAGGCCCUGCUUUUGUGGGGUGCUCGAGUGGCGAACGGGUGAGUAACACGUGAGUAACCUGCCCUUGACUUUGGGAUAACUUCAGGAAACUGGGGCUAAUACCGGAUAGGAGCUCCUGCUGCAUGGUGGGGGUUGGAAAGUUUCGGCGGUUGGGGAUGGACUCGCGGCUUAUCAGCUUGAUGGUGGGGUAGUGGCUUACCAAGGCUUUGACGGGUAGCCGGCCUGAGAGGGUGACCGGCCACAUUGGGACUGAGAUACGGCCCAGACUCCUACGGGAGGCAGCAGUGGGGAAUAUUGCACAAUGGGCGGAAGCCUGAUGCAGCAACGCCGCGUGCGGGAUGACGGCCUUCGGGUUGUAAACCGCUUUCGCCUGUGACGAAGCGUGAGUGACGGUAAUGGGUAAAGAAGCACCGGCUAACUACGUG